GAACUACCACCGCUGCCUGAAGACAUCGAUGAUGAUGAAGAUUCUGUGAAAAGUAUAAGAUUGGUCAAGAAUAAGGAGCCACUGGCUUGAUUCAUGUUGGGGAUGAACUGAAGAAGGUCAAUGGAAUCCCUGCGGAUGACAAUAACUGGAGGAAAUCAUUCAUAUUCUGAUGCUUAUUCUGGUACUCUGGCUAUGAUCCAGGAAGGAUGACAAAGCCAUCCCAUGUAAGGAAGCUGGUUUGGCCUUCAAGAAGGGUUGCAUCCUACAGAUCAUGAGCCAAGAUGAUGCAACCUGGUAGCAGGACAAACGCGCGGGUGACACAAAUCCUGGUGCUGGCUUAAUACCAUCCAAACAGUUCCAGGAGAG
ensembl:lncRNA